rnacentral:rRNA from 1 species
AUGGCUUUGGUUAGAAAAUAUGGAAAGCCAGACAUAUUCCUCACAAUGACCUGCAACCCCAAUUGGGACGAGAUCACAUGUGAACUACAAUCCGGGCAAACACCACAAGAUCGCCCAGUUAUUGUAGUUCGUGUUUUCAGGGCGAAGCUAGAAGAAAUGAAGAAGCAACUAUUUCAAAAGGCCAUUCUCGGAAAGGUUAAGGCAUAUACAUAUGUUGUAGAGUACCAAAAGAGGGGAUUGCCACAUGCUCACUUUUUGCUAAUCAUGACUGGAAAAUAUAAGUACACAUGUCCAGAACAGUAUGACAGGAUCAUCUCCGCUGAGCUCCCUAACAAGCACAAGUACCUAGAGCUCUAG